rnacentral:rRNA from 1 species
UACGUAGGGUGCAAGCGUUGUCCGGAAUUAUUGGGCGUAAAGAGCUUGUAGGCGGUUUGUCGCGUCUGCUGUGAAAUUUCGGGGCUCAACCCCGAACUUGCAGUGGGUACGGGCAGACUAGAGUGUGGUAGGGGAGACUGGAAUUCCUGGUGUAGCGGUGAAAUGCGUAGAUAUCAAGAGGAACACCAGUGGCGAAGGCGAGUCCCUGGACAACACCUGACACUGAGGCACGAAAGCUAGGGGAGCAAACAGG